ensembl:lncRNA
CUGCCUUCCAUUUUGAGCCUAACCACUAAUAAAAGAUGCCUGCAGAUCCUGAUAGUGACGAUAACCUCUAAUCCUGCUCUUUCUAGCCGAAGGAAAAUUAUAAGGUGGAAUGAAAAAGAGAUGAAAACUCCCAGCAAAAUGAUGACAUGUCAGUCCUUUUUAAACAUGUUUGGAAGACUCUUUACAAUGGCCCCUGUUGAUUUUUAAACACCCAAAAUGUGCAAAUCAUUGCAUUAUUUUUCAUCAUGCCAGAAAGUGUUUGAAUUUUUAUUUUUGUGGGGCCGGAACAGAUGAAUUCCUAGAAAAGAAGCUGGCACCGUGCCAUCUCUCAGAAGUUGAUGUGGGUGAGGAUCCAUGAGGUGACUAGUAAGGUAUAUUGUGUUACCAUUUACAAAUAACUUUGUCAUCCACCAUCCCACCAUUAUCCUAUAAGAGAAAGAGUCAGGGUCACAUCAAUGAGAAUGAUCCAGAGAAACAGUGUCAAGUCCCUGUUGCACAGUUAAGCUGAAGCAGUCAACAAGCAGAUAACCAAGAGGUCAGAAUCCAAAAAUAUUGAACACAGGUUAGAAGAAAGGAAUAAAAUGGUCUAAAGCAAGCAGGUCAAAGACACAAACACCAUUUCCACAAGGACAGAGAUGUAUCUUUUGUUUCCUUAUUUUACUCCAUACCAAGAAAGUCCUCCAAUAUUCACUGAAUGAAUGAGUGAAUGAAUGCAUCAUCAUGGUGUGCAGUUAUUUUUAUGGUGCCAACUGUAUGGCAUUGGAAGCCUGGGAAGUACACUGGCCUCAAAGUGCAAAGGAUUUAAAGAGCUAGACACUAAUCCCCCAGGGAUCAAGGCUGCAUAUCCUCCCUGCUGGACACUGAACUGCUGCCCUCCCCUCCAGUCUCCAUGGUUUGGUUUUCUUCCUGCCCUUUGAGGCCCUGCAUUGCUAUUCUCAUGCUGCAGUGUAAUCUUCCAGUUCUCCGACUUCCUGGCUGAAUGUGAUGCAGUAUAAGGUGCACAAUAACAGCUCGGGAGUGACACUACAUGAUCCUGCCCUAAGGAUUCUCCCACAGAGGUGAGUGGAUGAAGAACGAGAAUGGGUAGUUUGGGCCUUAUUUUUUUUCCUGGGAAGUAGGGGAAUAAUUUCACCAAAAGUCGAUAAGUUCAGAACUAAUAGGGAAAUAACUGUAAUUAUCUCUAGACUAACCAGCAUGGCAAGAGCACUUAAAACUGAAUUUAACAAUAAUAAAAAUAUAAUGGCUGACGUGAAGAAAGGGAGUAGGAGAAUUAGUUGAUAAGGUGUGGGGUCAUGUGCCUACCACAAAAGCUAACAUGGCCCCGGUGGCCAAUGGUGGACCUGAACCUAGAUCAGGGGAACAUCAGCCUUGCUCACCUCUGACCACAUCCUGUGUGCUGACUGCUCUCAGCUCUGGAUUCCACUCUCCCACGAAAGAGCAAAAACCCAGGUGUGCCCAGUUGAGAGUACUGCGAAGGUAAGAAGACUUAAAUCCAUAGCAAAAAAAGUACAAAAAAUCAAAGAAAUUGUUUAUCCCGGAGAUGGCUUAUAAAGGCCUAUGAGCUACUGUCAAUAUCAAAAGAGAUAUCGGACUAGAAACUGGGGCUAAGGAGGCUAAGUUUCUUAAUCAAAAUCACAGUGAAUUGAUGGUAGACCUGGGAGCCAAACUCAAGUCUAUAACUCUAAAUCCCAACUUAAGCAUAAAAUCAUUGUGCUUAAAUUUGCUGGGCCUUGAUGUGCUGGGAAAAAAAAACCCUAUGGGUCUCUCAUCUCCAUUACACAAGGACAAAGCUACAUCACUGCAGCCAGGGGUUCUUUGAAGGAAAGUGAAGGAAACGGUCUGAAUGUCCUUAACAAAUGAGUCCCAAACUUUCUCAGAAGAUGAGAGCUGACAUCUAUAUACAGAGAUAGUUUCUGUAUCCAUGCUAUCCUGAGCAUACAAUAAUGGAGACGGCAUCUUAGUCACAUUUAUCAAAGCUGUUUAGGGUAAUGGCUGAAAUUCUGCAUUCGUUCAACAAACUUGAUUUGUAUACCUGCUCAAGUUAAGCCCCAUGCUAAGUACUGGGUACAUGGCAGUUAAUAAAAUGGCAGUCUCAUGAAAGAUACAUCUAUCCAUAAAUCAUAAACAAAUUAUAUGUUACUAUAAACUGUGAUAAUUAUAAAUCUAAUUUCAGAACAUCUUCAGCAUAAGAAAGUAACAGUUAGAUGGGGCUUAUUAAAUAAUGUGAGCAUGAUUCUCUCUGGGAAAUGCUGUGUGUUAGAAAAAGGUCUGUCCUGCAGAUGAGAAAACAGAGACCGGAGAGGAUACACAACAGAAGUCAGAUCCAGCUGAUCUGCUUUGGUUCUUCCACCAGGCUACCCUGCCACCUUGUACAGCCUGCCACUUAAUGCCAGAAGAAAUGAGAGACGAGCACAGCUCACUGGAGUGUCAGACACUAAAUGUGAAUCAUCUACUCCUUGGAUGUAAAGGAGGCCAAAAGACCAAGAGAACAUAUUAUUAAAGAUUAAGUUCAAAAGCCAUCGGUCAAGGUGUGAAACAGAGAGGCUAAGAAUAGACUUGUGGCUGCCAAUGGACGGAAGACCAUAUUUGGCCUCUAAACAAACACAAUAGAAUAUUACUCUGAAGAAUUGACUUAG